rnacentral:rRNA from 1 species
CGAAGGAUCCAAGCGUUGUCCGGAUUUACUGGGUUUAAAGGGUGCGUAGGCGGGCUAUUAAGUCAGUGGUGAAAGCUUGCAGCUUAACUGUAAAAUUGCCAUUGAAACUGAUAGCCUCGAAUAUGGUUGGGGUGGUUGGAAUGUAUCAUGUAGCGGUGAAAUGCUUAGAUAUGUUACAGAACACCGAUUGCGAAGGCAGAUCACUAAACCAUUAUUGACGCUGAGGCACGAAAGCGUGGGGAUCAAACAGGAUUAGAUACCCUGGUAGUCCACGCCCUAACGUUGCAUACUCGGUUUUAGCGAUAUACCGUUAGGACCCAAGCGAAAGCGUUAAGUAUGCCACCUGGGAAGUACGUCCGCAAGGAUG